GCCGGACAUGGCAUGUGCCUGUAGUCCCAGCUGCCUGGGAGGCUGAGGUAGAAGGAUCACUUAAGCCCAGGAGUUCUGGGCGGUGGUACGCUACGCCCUUCAGGUGUCCGCACUAAGGUUGCAUCAAUAAUGACCUACCCAGAGCGGGAACCAACAGAUUGCCUAAGGAAGGGUGAACCGGCCCAGGUCAGAAACAGAGCGGGUCAAAACAACCCUGCUGAUCAGUGGUGGGUCUGUGUCUGAACAGCCAUUGUACUCCAGCCUGAGCAACAAUAGCGGGACCCUGUCUCUU
ensembl:misc_RNA Metazoa_SRP Metazoan signal recognition particle RNA